rnacentral:rRNA from 1 species
CCUACGGGAGGCAGCAGUGAGGAAUAUUGGUCAAUGGGCGCAAGCCUGAACCAGCCAAGUAGCGUGAAGGAUGACUGCCCUACGGGUUGUAAACUUCUUUUAUAAAGGAAUAAAGUGAUGCACGUGUACCUUUUUGUAUGUACUUUAUGAAUAAGGAUCGGCUAACUCCGUGCCAGCAGCCGCGGUAAUACGGAGGAUCCGAGCGUUAUCCGGAUUUAUUGGGUUUAAAGGGAGCGUAGAUGGGUUGUUAAGUCAGUUGUGAAAGUUUGGGGCUCAACCGGAAAAUUGCAAUUGAUACUGGCAGUCUUGAGUACAGUAGAGGUAGGCGGAAUUCGUGGUGUAGCGGUGAAAUGCUUAGAUAUGACGAAGAACUCCGAUGGCGAAGGCAGCUUACUAAACUGCCACUGACACUGAUGCUCGAAAGUGUGGGUAGCAAACAGGAUUAGAUACCCGUGUAGUC